GAUGAACGCUGGCGGCGUGCCUAAUACAUGCAAGUCGAGCGAACAGACGAGGAGCUUGCUCCUCUGACGUUAGCGGCGGACGGGUGAGUAACACGUGGAUAACCUACCUAUAAGACUGGGAUAACUUCGGGAAACCGGAGCUAAUACCGGAUAAUAUAUUGAACCGCAUGGUUCAAUAGUGAAAGACGGCUUUGCUGUCACUUAUAGAUGGAUCCGCGCCGCAUUAGCUAGUUGGUAAGGUAACGGCUUACCAAGGCAACGAUGCGUAGCCGACCUGAGAGGGUGAUCGGCCACACUGGAACUGAGACACGGUCCAGACUCCUACGGGAGGCAGCAGUAGGGAAUCUUCCGCAAUGGGCGAAAGCUUGACGGAGCAACGCCGCGUGAGUGAUGAAGGUCUUCGGAUCGUAAAACUCUGUUAUUAGGGAAGAACAAAUGUGUAAGUAACUAUGCACGUCUUGACGGUACCUAAUCAGAAAGCCCCGGCUAACUACGUG
rnacentral:rRNA from 1 species